rnacentral:rRNA from 1 species
CGUCCAGACUCCUACGGGAGGCAGCAGUGGGGAAUAUUGCACAAUGGGCGAAAGCCUGAUGCAGCAACGCCGCGUGAAGGAAGAAGGCCUUCGGGUCGUAAACUUCUGUCCUUGGGGAAGAAGAACUGACGGUACCAAGGGAAUAAGCCCCGGCUAACUACGUGCCAGCAGCCGCGGUAAUACGUAGGGGGCAAGCGUUGUUCGGAAUGACUGGGCGUAAAGGGUGUGUAGGUGGUUUGAUAAGUUAGAUGUGUAAUACCCAGGGCUUAACUCGGGUGCUGCAUCUAAAACUGUUAGACUUGAGUACUGGAGAGGAUAGUGGAAUUCCUAGUGUAGCGGUGGAAUGCGUAGAUAUUAGGAGGAACAUCAGUGGCGAAGGCGACUAUCUGGACAGCAACUGACACUGAGGCACGAAAGCGUGGGGAGCAAACAGGAUUAGAUACCCGCGUA